rnacentral:rRNA from 1 species
CCUACGGGUGGCAGCAGUGGGGAAUAUUGCACAAUGGGGGUAACCCUGAUGCAGCGACGCCGCGUGAGUGAAGAAGUAUAUCGGUACGUAAAGCCCUAUCAGCAGGGAAGAAAAACCGGCCUUAGGGCCGCCAGACGGUACCUGACUAAGAAGCACCGGCUAACUACGGGCCAGCAGCCGCGGUAAUACGUAGGGGGCAAGCUGUAUCCGGCUUUACUGGGGGUAAAGGGAGCGUAGACGGCAGCGCAAGACUGGAGUGAAAUGCCGGGGCCCAACCCCGGAACUGCUUUGGAAACUGUGGAGCUUGAGUGCAGGAGAGGUAAGCGGAAUUCCUAGUGUAGCGGUGAAAUGCGUAGAUAUUAGGAGGAACACCAGUGGCGAAGGCGGCUUACUGGACUGUAACUGACGUUGAGGCUCGAAAGCGUGGGGAGCAAACAGGAUUAGAUACCCCGGUAGUC